rnacentral:rRNA from 1 species
AGAGUUUGAAUCUGGCUCAGGAUGAACGCUGGUNGUGUGCUUAACACAUGCAAGUCGAACGGUGAACACGGAGCUUGCUCUGUGGGAUCAGUGGCGAACGGGUGAGUAACACGUGAGCAACCUGCCCCUGACUCUGGGAUAAGCGCUGGAAACGGCGUCUAAUACUGGAUAUGUGACGUGAUCGCAUGGUCUGCGUCUGGAAAGAAUUUCGGUUGGGGAUGGGCUCGCGGCCUAUCAGCUUGUUGGUGAGGUAAUGGCUCACCAAGGCGUCGACGGGUAGCCGGCCUGAGAGGGUGACCGGCCACACUGGGACUGAGACACGGCCCAGACUCCUACGGGAGGCAGCAGUGGGGAAUAUUGCACAAUGGGCGCAAGCCUGAUGCAGCAACGCCGCGUGAGGGAUGACGGCCUUCGGGUUGUAAACCUCUUUUAGCAGGGAAGAAGCGAAAGUGACGGUACCUGCAGAAAAAGCGCCGGCUAACUACGUGCCAGCAGCCGCGGUAAUACGUAGGGCGCAAGCGUUAUCCGGAAUUAUUGGGCGUAAAGAGCUCGUAGGCGGUUUGUCGCGUCUGCUGUGAAAUCCGGAGGCUCAACCUCCGGCCUGCAGUGGGUACGGGCAGACUAGAGUGCGGUAGGGGAGAUUGGAAUUCCUGGUGUAGCGGUGGAAUGCGCAGAUAUCAGGAGGAACACCGAUGGCGAAGGCAGAUCUCUGGGCCGUAACUGACGCUGAGGAGCGAAAGGGUGGGGAGCAAACAGGCUUAGAUACCCUGGUAGUCCACCCCGUAAACGUUGGGAACUAGUUGUGGGGUCCAUUCCACGGAUUCCGUGACGCAGCUAACGCAUAAGU